UAAGAACUGACGUUGUUGUUGAAAGGUCUCUGGUAUCUGUAAACUCUCAACAUGAAGUGCUUCGUUCUCUCCCUCAUCCUCGCAAGUAUCAUCGCUGUGGAUUCUAGAUAAGUGGGAAACGACAACUGCCCGCCUCGUUUACCAAUGGCCAUGUGUUACCUUCACCCCUGUUUGUUGUACCCGGCAUGUGCUAGUCAUUCUAGGGCCAAAUGCACCACUGACAUCUGCGAACCGUGCGUCAGGAAGUGGCGAAUGCCGGACGGAUCAUACCUAUCCGAGUUGGAGUCGAUGCACUGCUAACAACUCUACACUUUUCUAAAUGAUACCUGCAACUCUGCCUGUUACUGGAUUACAAUACACGAUAUAUUUCCA